CCUGUUCAUGCUCUGUCUCUCUUUGUCCCAAAAAUAAAUAAAAACGUUAAAAAUUAAAAACACAACAAACACUUACUGUAAUUUUUAUAGCUUUGUUCAACACGUUUACCCAUUCUACUAGGUCUUGCUGAUCAUUAGCUUGUAGGAAGUAUUUCCUCAUCCCUGCAUUCAUAAC